GCAAACCCAAUUUUAAAAUUGGGCUUAAAAUCAAUGACCUAGUCCAAUUCACCAUCAGCCCACCAUUAAUGGCGGAAAAGCAUUUCGAGUAUUUGAUGAAUCCUCUCGCGGUGGUGGCGCUAAUGUAUUGUCUAUCAGUAAAUGUGACUGGAUUUGUACAUGUGGGGUUUCAAGCCUAUACUCUAGCUUACCGUCUCGUCACAAAAAAACAUGUCAUCAGUCCUCCAUGGAUCAGGCAAGGUUGAGUUCAUUUCACAUGCCUUCGCAUCCAAUAUGCUUGUGAAAUUGAGCAAUAUGCAUGGAUUCAAGUGUUUACAAUAUAUAUAGGUUAAAUUCUGCUAUUAAUUUUUGUACUUUGUGAAAGUUUUGGAUUUAGUCCCUGUACUUAAAUUUAAUCAAAUUUUAGUCUUGACCCAAACAAUAGCAUUUAAAUUUUUUGGUUAAAUUCAAUUACUAGUCUUGUACUAUGCGUACAAUUAUAUACUUAGUUCGUAUUUUUCAAUUGGAUCAUUUCAAAUCCCUAUAUUGUAAAAAUUUUGAAAUUUCAGUCUUGACGCAAAUGAUAGUCGUUAACGCAUUAACUAAGUUUUAGUGAGUAGUAUGUGAAAAUAACAAGCUGAUGUGACAUUAAAUUUUGGAAAUAGCAGAACUUAAGGAGUUUAAUAGUUCUUGUUCGAUGAGGACUGAAAUUUAAGAAUUUGAAAAGUAUAAAGACUAAAAAUGAUCAAAUUAAAGUAUGGGGAUUAAAUCCCUAACUUUUGCGAAUCACAGGGACUAAUAGCAGAAUUUAACCAUGUAUAUAUACAUGGCCUGUUUGAAUCACAAAAUGUCCAAGUGAAACACAUACAAAUGCAUGUAAGCAAAACACAAAAGAGAAUUGCUUGCUUCUUUGGUUCAUACUGCUGAUGCUAGCCUAUCCUUUUUGCUUUCCGCAUCAUCUGCUUCGGCCACCCGAGUUGAUGAGUGGCCAAUCUAGUUGGUGUAAAGAUGAAUUCAUUGAAAUGGUUAGUGCCUUAGUUAUAAAUAGCCUAUUCUCAUUCUCACCUUGUACAAUUGUUUUAUUUUAAUAGUCAAUUGUGCUUGUUUGAAUCUUUAUUUUGUUCGAAAUACAUCUGAACUCUAAUAAUAUAAGUUUUGACUCUUCUUAGCGUGUAUGAUGUUCAUAA